rnacentral:rRNA from 1 species
UGGGGAAUAUUGGACAAUGGGCGGAAGCCUGAUCCAGCCAUGCCGCGUGUGUGAAGAAGGCCUUUUGGUUGUAAAGCACUUUAAGCGAGGAGGAGGCUACUUGGAUUAAUACUCUAGGAUAGUGGACGUUACUCGCAGAAUAAGCACCGGCUAACUCUGUGCCAGCAGCCGCGGUAAUACAGAGGGUGCGAGCGUUAAUCGGAUUUACUGGGCGUAAAGCGUGCGUAGGCGGCUUCUUAAGUCGGAUGUGAAAUCCCUGAGCUUAACUUAGGGAUUGCAGUCGGUACUGGGAAGCUAGAGUAUGGGAGAGGAUGGUAGAAUUCCAGGUGUAGCGGUGAAAUGCGUAGAGAUCUGGAGGAAUAACGAUGGCGAAGGCAGCCAUCUGGCCUAAUACUGACGCUGAGGUACGACAGCAUGGGGAGCAAACAGG